rnacentral:ncRNA from 1 species
AAUACGGGGAGCUGGGUAGGCCCGGCUGAGAUGAGAUAAACGUGAAUCUCAAAACCCAUGAACCUGAUCCGGGUAAUGCCGGCGUAGGAAACAGAG